AAAAAGGAUUUCUUAAAAUCCAUACUACCUGUUCAGGUGGUAGCUCU
rfam:Patagioenas fasciata monilis isolate BTP2013 Sc31e1R_77, whole genome shotgun sequence.